CGGGGAGAAGCCUGCGGCUCCCGGGGGGGCAGGAUGGCCUGCUGCCUUAGCAUCACUCCCUGGCCCAGAGCCUCCGGGUCAGCCAGAGCCUCCUGGAGCCCUGCAGACACGUCAGAGCUCCUCAGCGCCCUCUGUGGACAUCUCUUCGCUCAGCCCUGGCUUUGCUCCACUUUCACCACGGUCUCAGUCAAUCGUGACUUUGCACAACGGCCACUGAUCCGUUUUCACAAGCGUCCUGGGGGAAAGGUUGUUCUCCUUUCAUGCUCGCAGGUUACCGCGGCCUUGGUGAACUGCCAGCUGUCAAGGAGCGUUGAUGGCGACCGUUCCUGCCAGUGCGGACGCUGCUUUUAUGGAGGAGAGGAUUUCUGGAGGUCUGUCCUUGCCAUCACAGUGACGCCUACGCUGUUUCCACAACAAACCCCCGAAACCAGCCUGCCAGCUCAUCAGCCGGAGUUCUCUGUGCCGUGGAAUGGCUGUGUCAUGUGCUGUUGUGAAACCACUCGGGAGGAUGAACCGUGUCUCCUGAGGUGGAGGGGCCUCAUCAUGCGUGAAAUUGGAAACGUUGGGGGGGAAUGCGUUCACUUUUCUGAAAGCACGACCACCCAAGUCCCCGUGUGUGUGUCUGUGUCUUCCUUUGUGCGGGGGACAGGUGUGUCAGGAUGACACGGGGGUCAGCACUGGCUGCAGUGAGCCUGGGGCGUGUGGCAGUUGCUCAGCAGUCCGUCUUGCGUUCUUCAGAGAUUGUGGGGGGCAUGUCUCAGAUUUGCCAUUUCUGAAGAUGUUAUCUCAAGAAGUAUUUGUGAGGACAAAACCAUGCGUUAUUCUACAGUCCUGAAGGGUUUUACAUGUAAAGUUCUCUCCUUUUCUCUCCGCUUUCUAUAUCCACAACAGUACAUUUCUGGGGUCAUAGCGUAGAUAAACUUCUCUUGUCCCUGUUCAUGUACAUAAAAGACUGUCUUGUUCAGAAAUGUAAAUGCUCUUUACUUUUGCACUGACUCUCCAUACUUGCUUUCUAGACUCGAGUGAGGAGCCAUUCACUUGAUGCUUCUGGCCAAUUCCCAGCUCUGCUUCCGGCGACGCGGGGUUAACCCCGAGAUGGUUGCCAGGGUUCCCAGAGCCGCUGCCGCCGGCCAGCCACUUGGAACCUUCCGGACCCC
ensembl:lncRNA